UUAAAAGUUAAAAUAAUUUUGAAACUUCGGUUCGAUGAACUUUAUUUAUAUUAUAUUAAUAAAGUAUAUAUAUUUAAAAAUAUAAAAAGUUUACUUUUUUUACACAAAGUUCUAAAAAUUCUCACGGAUAACUUUCGAGAAAUUAAAACUACCGAAAUUAUGAAUGUGAAAAAGAGGCCAAGUUUGCCGAAAAAGAAUUGAUAUCUAAGUGGGAUG